rnacentral:rRNA from 1 species
GACAGAGGGUGCAAACGUUGUUCGGAAUUACUGGGCGUAAAGCGAGUGUAGGCGGUCUACUAAGUCGGAUGUGAAAGCCCCGGGCUCAACCCGGGAAGUGCACUCGAAACUGGCAGGCUAGAGUAUCGGAGAGGUUGGUGGAAUUCUCGGUGUAGAGGUGAAAUUCGUAGAUAUCGAGAGGAACACCGGUGGCGAAGGCGGCCAACUGGACGAAUACUGACGCUGAGACUCGAAAGCGUGGGGAGCAAACAGG